rnacentral:rRNA from 1 species
GAUGAACGCUGACAGAAUGCUUAACACAUGCAAGUCCACUUGAACUUCGGUUUGGGUGGCGGACGGGUGAGUAACGCGUAAAGAACUUGCCUCACAGAUAGGGACAACAUUUGGAAACGAAUGCUAAUACCUGAUAUUAUGAUUAUAUGGCAUCGUAUAAUUAUGAAAGCUAUAUGCGCUGUGAGAGAGCUUUGCGUCCCAUUAGCUAGUUGGAGAGGUAACGGCUCACCAAGGCGAUGAUGGGUAGCCGGCCUGAGAGGGUGAUCGGCCACAAGGGGACUGAGGCACGGCCCUUACUCCUACGGGAGGCAGCAGUGGGGAAUAUUGGACAAUGGACCAAGAGUCUGAUCCAGCAAUUCUGUGUGCACGAUGAAGUUUUUCGGAAUGUAAAGUGCUUUCAGUUGGGAAGAAAAAAAUGACGGUACCAACAGAAGAAGUGACGGCUAAAUACGUG